rnacentral:rRNA from 1 species
AGUGAACGCUGGCGGUAGGCCUAACACAUGCAAGUCGAACGGCAGCACAGUAAGAGCUUGCUCUUACGGGUGGCGAGUGGCGGACGGGUGAGGAAUACAUCGGAAUCUACUUUUUCGUGGGGGAUAACGUAGGGAAACUUACGCUAAUACCGCAUACGACCUACGGGUGAAAGCAGGGGAUCUUCGGACCCUGCGCGAUUGAAUGAGCCGAUGUCGGAUUAGCUAGUUGGCGGGGUAAAGGCCCACCAAGGCGACGAUCCGUAGCUGGUCUGAGAGGAUGAUCAGCCACACUGGAACUGAGACACGGUCCAGACUCCUACGGGAGGCAGCAGUGGGGAAUAUUGGACAAUGGGCGCAGGCCUGAUCCAGCCAUACCGCGUGGGUGAAGAAGGCCUUCGGGUUGUAAAGCCCUUUUGUUGGGAAAGAAAAGCAGCAGGUUAAUACCCCGCUGUUCUGACGGUACCCAAAGAAUAAGCACCGGCUAACUUCGUG